UGUUUAACAGACGACAGGAACAGAAACAGGACCCGCAGCACUGCAAUAAAGUUGGUUGGACGUUCGAUAUUCGCGGAAAUUAAGGGACCGUCUGUAAAGUUACACACGACAUUUUUAUACACGUUUCUAACUUCAAUAGCAUUUGAAGGGAAUGACUUACAGUCAUAUAACCAACUGGACAGUGUUCAUCAAGGUGUCAGAUCAAUCCAAUUGAAUCCCGAGCUGGUUACUCUGACUGGGCCGUAACAGUUAAUGAAACACUGGAUGAGAUGUAGUAGAUUGGAGAGGCGUUCAAAUGGGUCGCAGGUGUUUGUUUCAGUGGUGUAAGAGUUCGAGUGUCUUUUCUCGGGAGAGCUGAGAAUUGGAGAAAGGUAGACUUCGGACUUGCUCAUGAAAGCAGUUUGCAUCUAAACAAUGAUGCGGUACUUGGUCCCAAGGACUUUUCUGACCCUUCAAAUGAGUCACACCAGGGGCUAAUGGUUCAAAUAGACAGGGCAGAGGACCUGCACUGCUAUCCACUGUGUCUCCAUUUAGCCCUGGGGAUUCAGGAAGAGAGAAGUCCCCUGGCUCAUCUGCAAACUUUUUGUCACUCUCCAUCCUUUUUGUGAGUGUUCUGAAGGCUCGUCCCCAUCCUCCUCCCCUGCCUAGCUAGCUACAGUACCCUACAUAUAUGUGCGAUGUGUGUUCCUCUGUGUCGGCGCUCCAUUCACGUGUGUGUGUGUGUGUGUGUGUGUGUGUGUGUGUGAGUGUGCACGCAAUAUAGGCCAAAUAAAUAAAGCACCUUUACCUUUUAAAACAAGCUUAGUUUGCAGACAAAUUAUGUUAGUGAUCCUACAAAUGUUAAUUUAAACUGAGUGACUUAGUCAGAACUUCGAGUUUCACAACAUGAAACAAAAACGCUUAAAAAAUAUGUUAGCUUAAUAGGUCUGACAUAUGUCAAAUAAUAUACACCGCCAAAUAAUAUACAAGCUCAUUUCAUAUAAUUUGAAUGCAAAUAGUUGAAUGCACUCCACACCUCAUUAUUGACCAAUGCCUAUACUGUAUAUUUACAGAUGAUCCACAACAGCUCAGGGAAGGUCAGGAUGGCCCACACCCCGUCAUGGAAGGUCAGGAGAAGGAGAUGUUUAAUGAUCUAAGAUUUUUCAUUCAGGCCAUGAAAUCAGUUGAAGAAAUCUUAGAGAGUGUGCUGGAAUACUAUUCCAGUAAAGUUCCUUAAAUGUAUUCUGUUGCUAGUGUGGUCUUUAAACCUGUGAACUGGGUGUCUGUGUUUGUGUGUGUGUGUGUGUGUGUGUGUGUGUGUGUGUUUAGACUGAAAAAGGUGGUACAUGAUCUUGGUAAGCAAUUUGACAACAUUGUAGUAAAUAUUAUUGGUAGAGAUGCACCGAUGUAUCGGCCGAUAAAGGCUAUUUUUCCCGCUAUCGGCCGAUAGUUUCAAAACAUCCGAUGUUCAGGGCCGAUUAUAUCCUGUCAAUCAAAAGAGGGUGGAAAAACACAUUGAUUUCUGAUUGCUGUAUGUAAAGAAGAUGUCUCUUGUGUGGAAUGAUGACAUAACUGCAGUUUGUAAGCUUUGUAAUCUCUGCACCGCUAAAAUUUUACACCGGAAGUGAGCAGCAGUGAAGUGGGAGUUUCAGCAUUGAGUCUAAUUUUUUCCCCCACGCUGCUCACUCUGAAUUAAAGCACCAGUACACGGGUAAAAGAUGGGUUGACAAAAAAGUAUAUAUUGCACAGAAAAAUGUAUUUGUAGAGUAGUAUAUUUCAUAUCCAGUUAAUGGUAAUAUAUAUAAAAAAAGUAUGAUAUUAUAUAUUACCAGUUUGAGGUUAAUGAUGAAGUAGAAAUGCUUUUGUUUGGGGAGAGUGAAUGUGAGACUAACAGGAGGUUUUUUAGAAUUCAGUCAAUGUUAAUAUGAAUUAAUAACCUUCAAUAAGUUAAGAAAUCUUACAUUAAUCUUCAGAAUUUAGUUCAUGUUUUAAUGUUAGAGUAAUGUGUUUUCUGUUUAUGAGACCAGUUACUGUGAAACAACUUGUUGAAAUGGAGAGAAUAAAGUUUUUAUUUGCAUUUU